rnacentral:rRNA from 1 species
UACGGGGGGGGUAAGCGUUGUUCGGAAUUACUGGGCGUAAAGGGCUCGUAGGCGGCCAACUAAGUCGGACGUGAAAUCCCUCAGCUUAACUGGGGAACUGCGUCCGAUACUGGAUGGCUUGGAUUUGGGAGAGGGAUGCGGAAUUCCAGGUGUAGCGGUGAAAUGCGUAGAUAUCAGGAGGAACACCGGUGGCGAAGGCGGUGGUCUGGGCCGGAACUGACGCUGAGGAGCGAAAGCGUGGGGAGCGAACAGG